rnacentral:tRNA from 1 species
CGGCAGAUGGGGUGAGUGGCUGAAACCGCCGGAUUGUAGUCCCGGACCCCGUUAGGGGCGCGUUGGUUCAAAUCCAACUCUGCCGACCA